rnacentral:lncRNA from 13 species
GUCAUUUGAGCCAACAUGGAUGAGGACAUUAUGCUAAGUGAAAUAAGCCAGACACGGAAAGAAAACGACCAGGUGAUCUCAAUUACACGUGGAAUCUAAAUAUGUUGACUUCAUAGCGCUGCCUAUCAGAAGGAAGUGAAGAUUCUUCCAAGGUCCCUUCUUCACAAGCCAAUUUGAUUCAAAAGAUUCUGAGGGUGUUUCUGGAAGGUAUUUUAAAGGUGCCCAAGAAAUGAGAAGAAAGAACAAAGGCCAAGUCCAUUGGUCAAUUUGUACAAAAUAACUUGAGGCCUGGCCAGGUGUCCAUCCAGUUGAAUCAUCUGUCAUGUGGUUUCCAGCCAGUGCUUCCUUGAGCAAAACUCAGAUUCACAGAAAUCCCCAUGCAUUUGAAGGAAAGAAAUUGCUGUUGAUUGCCCUUACAAGGUAAAAUGCACUCAUUUGCCAGAGAUUGGAUGAUUAACAUGACCUUGUGAUCAAAAAGUAAAGAAUGUAUCGUUGUGUUUUUACACUGAGAAACUUGGAAAGCUGGGAUUUUCUGUUUAUUUUCUCUUUCCCUGCUUCGUCAACAUGAUCUGGUAAGUAUAAUAUAAUGAACUCUCAUUACACUUAAA